UACGUAGGGGGCUAGCGUUGUCCGGAUUUAUUGGGCGUAAAGAGCGUGUAGGCGGCCAGGUAGGUCUGCUGUGAAAACUCGAGGCUCAACCUCGAGACGUCGGCGGAAACCAUCUGGCUAGAGUCCGGAAGAGGAGAGUGGAAUUCCUGGUGUAGCGGUGAGAUGCGCAGAUAUCAGGAAGAACACCCGUGGCGAAGGCGGCUCUCUGGGACGGUACUGACGCUGAGACGCGAAAGCGUGGGGAGCGAACAGG
rnacentral:rRNA from 1 species